AACUUUAAAAAAAACUGUCGAUUUUCUGCUGUCAAGGAAACAAGCUGUUCUCCCAUUCGAGGCUCCCUUGGAUCCUGUUAGAACUAAGGAAUGACAAGUACAGAGGGACUUUUUAUCCAAAAUUUGUGAACUUUCAGUGCCACAAUCCUUUGCCCGCCCCUCUGUGAGAGGACUGAGUUCUCUCCUCAUGUCUUCAGCACACGGGCAGUGCCACCUUGGUCUCUAGGCCUCAGAAUACCAGGAAAACCUCCCUUCUCAGCUUGCCAUCAUGCCAUUCAAAAUUUGCCAGGCUUCGUCCUAGGGGAAAACAACACAAACAUGAGCAAACAGAAUGCAUAUCAGAAGAUGGCAUCUGUCGAGACACUUGGGCUCGGGCAGAGCACAACCCAGUGACUGUGUGUUCAGAGUCCUUCUUGGUGGUCACACCCUUCAGAUGGCCUCGGCGCUUCCAGAGGUAGGCUGAUGACAGCUGAAGAAGACUGUAUUUGCCGAGGAGCAGCGUGAUGGUAGAGAGGAGCAGAGCUCCUGAGGGAGACCUAAUGGUUCCUCUCCUUCCUGCACGGAGAUAAAGACUUAUAAUAAGCGUGUAUGUUCACCAUCUGGCUCUGCGCAUGUGGUCCUUAUGGAGCGGAGAGCCGCACAAUCUGUAAAUGAUCAGGAGCCAUGGCGCUCUCUCCAGAGAAUCCACGAUGCAAUCAAGGUGACAGAUGGCAUGGCCACUGCUGUGGCCUCAUGGAGAAGAUCAAAAUCACCUUCAAUAAACUCUGACUGAAAUGGGCAUGAGCACCUCAAAAAAGUCAGUUUGUCAGUCAAACUGCGACAGCAAGCUGCAUUGGGGGAGCGCGGCGGCCAGCUCUCUGUUUUCAAUCGUUUCCGUCUGACUGGGCCUGAACUAUGAUCUUUCUCAAAUUGUCCUUUCUGUUUAGCUGAAGCGGGCCAACAAAUUGCCAGAUUCAUGGCUUUAUUGAAGGAAAUUGAAAACACGAUGUCCUCAAUUCCGGGGACGCACAGCUGGCAGGUGCUGGGACACCCAAGCGAGGAGCGGGG